rnacentral:misc_RNA from 1 species
GAAAUGCGAUAAGUAAUGUGAAUUGCAGAAUUCAGUGAAUCAUCGAAUCUUUGAACGCAUCUUGCGUUCCUUGGUAUUCCUUGGAGCAUGCCUGUUUGAGUAUCAUGAAAUCUUCAAAGUAAAUCUUUUGUUAACUCAAUUGGUUUCUACUUUGGUAUUGGAGGUCUUUGCAGCUUCACACCUGCUCCUCUUUGUUCAUUAGCUGGAUCUCAGUGUUAUGCUUGGUUCCACUCGGCGUGAUAAGUUAUCUAUCGCUGAGGACACUGUAAAAGGUGGCCAAGGUAAAUGCAGAUGAACCGCUUCUAAUAGUCCAUUGACUUGGACAAUACUUUUAUGAUCUGAUCUCAAAUCAGGUAGGACUUCCCGCUGAACUUAAGC